AGAGUUUGAUCAUGGCUCAGGAUGAACGCUAGCUGGAGGCUUAAUACAUGCAAGUCGAGCGGGAUUGUCCCAGCAAUGGGACAUGAGAGCGGCGCACGGGUGAGUAACGCGUACACGACCUACCUCUAACAGGGGGAUAGCCCUGGGAAACCGGGAUUAAUACCGCAUAUAAUUCUGAUUAAUAAAGAGUUGGAAUGAAAGUUCAGGCGGUUAGAGAUGGGUGUGCGUCUGAUUAGCUAGUUGGUAGGGUAACGGCCUACCAAGGCGAUGAUCAGUAGGGGGCGUGAGAGCGUGGUCCCCCACACGGGUACUGAGACACGGACCCGACUCCUACGGGAGGCAGCAGUAAGGAAUAUUGGACAAUGGCCGCAAGGCUGAUCCAGCCAUCCAGCGUGCAGGAAGAAGGCCCUAUGGGUUGUAAACUGCUUUUGUCAGGGAAUAAACCCUUGGAUUUACUCCGAGGCUGAAGGUACCUGAAGAAUAAGCACCGGCUAACUCCGUGCCAGCAGCCGCGGUAAUACGGAGGGUGCGAGCGUUAUCCGGAAUUACUGGGUUUAAAGGGUGCGUAGGCGGCGCAGUAAGUCAGGAGUGAAAGUUUGCGGCUCAACCGUAAAAUUGCUUUUGAUACUGCUGUGCUGGAAUUAGGAUGAGGUCAGCGGAAUGUGGCAUGUAGCGGUGAAAUGCAUAGAUAUGCCAUAGAACACCAAUUGCGAAGGCAGCUGGCUAGACCUGGAUUGACGCUGAGGCACGAAAGCGUGGGGAGCGAACAGGAUUAGAUACCCUGGUAGUCCACGCCCUAAACGAUGCUCACUCGACGUAUGAUGCUAGACAUUGUGCGUCCAAGGGAAACCGUUAAGUGAGCCACCUGGGGAGUACGACCGCAAGGUUGAAACUCAAGGAAUUGACGG
rnacentral:rRNA from 1 species